CCACGAGAUCUGACUGCCUGGAAAUGUCACAUGUAUCCCAUGAUUUGAGGAUGAGAUGACAAUUCCAAUCCAUAACUAAAGCCCCUGCAUUAGAAAAAAGAUCAACACUCCUUUGUGAUGCUUGCAAAUGCAAUGUAUUGGUAUUUACAAUUCAACACGUAUGCUAGCCUAAUGGAAAGUUAUUGAAUGACCAUGAUGACUAAUCAUCUGAAGAAAAUGAUUAGCAUGGAAAAGA